AUUUUCUUGAGCCUUCUAGACUUCUCUAUGUAUGCAUCUGUUGGUUUUCUUCAUCAUCUUAGUUCAUCCCUAUCUUUUUAUUGAGAGUUAUUUCAUGUUUUUAAAGUCUAAGGGUCUGUGUGAUUCCAUUAGAGAGAGAAGAAGGUGUCUGGUUCCAAUUGAUCGCUCUGGUUUAUAGAAGCAGCGUCAACUUCUCUAAGGGGUUUGGGGUCUUUUGUGGUCUUGGCUUGUAGAUAAGGAUACAAUGAUCUGAGCCUCAAAAUGGUUGAAACCAUGAUGCCUUUGGUUUGAUUCUUGAGUUGUAAUCUUUGAUUUUUGAGUCGAUCUAUUGAUUUUGUAUUUCUCGUUCUAAUAACAUUAACUAUUUUUUGUCAGCACAACCACUCACCUCCCUUCAAAACUUCCGGUACCCAGAAGAAACUGAGAAUUCGAAGUAUCAGAAUCAAACAAUACCCAAUUAAAUGUUGUGAUCUAGGUAUCAUGUGCUCGGAGAAACCCAUCAGUGUUGUGGUAGUAGAGUCUCCAUUAUCACCAAAAGAAUAGCUCUGCAGACCAUGGAUUCUCCAAAAUGAUAUUCUACCACAUUUUCCUCCAAUAACAAGUACACAACGGCAACUUGAUGAAUUCUUCAAAAUGGGUGACCAUGCCACAUUAAAAGAUGCCAGCAUUGUAUUGUGAGAACUGCUAUUGCGCAGGCGUAGAAACAAUAUGGUAAGUCAUUUUCUCCAUUUC
rnacentral:lncRNA from 1 species